CCCUUAGAUGUUCUGGGCCGCACGCGCACUACACUGAUGAAUUCAACGAGCUCCUAACCUAGGCCGAAGGGUCCGGGUAAUCUUUGAAAUUUCAUCGUGAUGGGGAUAGAUUAUUGCAAUUAUUAAUCUUCAACGAGGAAUUCCUAGUAAGCGCGAGUCAUCAGCUCGCGUUGAUUACGUCCCUGCCCUUUGUACACACCGCCCGUCGCUCCUACCGAUUGAAUGGUCCGGUGAAAUGUUCGGACCGCGACAAGGCGGACGGUUCGCUGUCAGCUUUGCUGCGGGAAGUUCAUUAAACCUUAUCAUUUAGAGGAAGGAGAANUCGUAACA
rnacentral:rRNA from 1 species